UGGGUUAAGUCCCGCAACGAGCGCAACCCCUAUUCUUAGUUGCCAGCACGUCAAGGUGGGGACUCUAAGGAGACUGCCUCCGCAAGGAGUGAGGAAGGCGGGGAUGACGUCAAAUCAUCAUGGCCCUUACGCCCAGGGCGACACACGUGCUACAAUGGCCGGUACAGCGGGUAGCGAAGGAGCGAUCCGGAGCCAAUCCCUAAAAGCCGGUCUCAGUUCAGAUUGGAGUCUGCAACUCGACUCCAUGAAGUUGGAAUCGCUAGUAAUCGCGGAUCAGCCAUGCCGCGGUGAAUACGUUCCCGGGCCUUGUACACACCGCCCGUCAAGCCAUGGGAGCCGAGGGUACCUGAAGUCGGGGAUGACCCGCCUAGGGUAAAAUCGGUGACUGGGGCUAAGUCGUAACAAGGUAACC
rnacentral:rRNA from 1 species